GAGGCUAUAGCUCUGUGAUAGAGCACGUGUUUAGCAUGCGUGAGGUCUUGGGUUCAAUCCCCAGUACCUACC
rnacentral:tRNA from 1 species